GGUGGAUUAUGGGGUUGAUUUUUUAUAUUUGUAUCUAAUUGCUAAUGCUAUUUUGAGGGUUCUAUAGGAGAGCAUGUUGCUCUGGAUUUCAAAAAUUGAAUCAAUUUUUCAUUUCAAUCCAUUGUAUAGCUUAUAUCAUCAUGUAUUUUUUUAUUUUUUUUUGACAAAAGCUUAGAUCAUCAUGUAUGUUGUCCAAAUAUAUAAGUUCAUCCUAUGAUACGCAAGUUCUAAUUAACAACUUAUCUCAUAG
rnacentral:lncRNA from 1 species